GGUCUAAUUGAAUUAAAGCAAUCGGUGGAUACCUUGGAUGGAUUAGCCGACGAAGGACGCGCCAGACUGCGAAAAAGAUCGGGGAGCUGUCAAGAAGCAUUGAUCCGGUCGUGUCCGAAUGGGGAAACCCCCCCGAUUGAAACAUCGGGGACUACGACGCAAGUCGUGGGGGGAACUUGCCCAACUGAAAUAUCUAAGUAGGCAAAGGAAAAGAAAUUAACAAAGAUGCCGUCAGUAGCGACGAGCGAAAGCGGCGUAGGCCCAAACCAUGUAUUUAUAUGUGGGGUUGUAGGACUCCUAUCCGGGAAUUUUUUGAUAGCUGAAUCCAGCGGAAUCUGGAACCAAAGAAAGUGAAAGUCUUGUAAGUGAAAUUGAAAAAUUUUCUGGGAGAUUCCUGAGUAAUACGAGAGACGGCAAACUCCUGUAUGAAACCGGGGCGACCACGCUCCAAGGCUAAAUACUAGUCCAUACCGAUAGUGAACGAGUACCGCGAGGGAAAGGUGAAAAGAAGGGCGAAACGCCCUAUGAAAGAGAACUUGAAACCGAUUGCUAACAAGCAGACAGAGGGCCGAUGACGCAAGUCUAUCGCGCCUGAUGUCGUGCCUAUUGAAGAAUGAGCCGGUGAGUCUUUAUUAACUGCCAGUUUAAUCCGUUUUUAGCGGGGAAGGCGUAGCGAAAGCAAGUCUUAAAAGGGCGAUUAGCAGUUGAUAGAGGACCCGAAACCGGGUGAUCUAUCCUUGAGCAGGGUGAAUUCCGACGAAAGUCGGGAGGAGGCCCGCACCCGUUAGUGUUACAAAACUAUGGGAUGACUUGAGGUUAGAGGUAAUAUGCCAAUCGAACCCGGAGAUAGCUGGUUCUCCCCGAAAUAUAUUUAGGUAUAGCCUUGCCAUUUACUCCAGGGGUAAAGCACUGGAUGGAUAUUAAGAGCUUGCUUUUGGUAUCCAACCAAACUAAGAAUACUGGAGGAAUUAUUGGCAGGAGUCAGUGUCUGGGGGCUAAGCUCCAGAGGCAAAAGGGUAACAUCCCAGAUCUUCAGCUAAGGUCUCUAAAUAACCGCUAAGUUUUUAAGGAAGUCAUCGUCCUUAGACAGCCAGGAGGUCGGCUCAGAAGCAGCCAUCCUUGAAAGAAAGCGUAACAGCUCACUGGUUGACGGAAGAUGGCGCCGAAAAUUCAUCGAGGAUAAGUGGUUUACCGAAGCUAAGAAUUCCCCGACGUAAGUCGUGGGUCUGGUAGGGGAGCGUUAAUAACGCGGUGAAGGGCCGAUGUAAAUCGUGCCUGGAGUAUUAUUAAGUGAGAAUGCCGGCAUAAGUAGCGUUUGGAGGUAAGAAUCCUCCAUGCCGAAUGUCCAAGGUUUCCUACACAACGUUCGUCGAUGUAGGGUGAGUCGAUCCUAAGGCAAGUCCCGCUUUUGCGGGGGUAGUCGAUGGACAACAGGUUAAUAUUCCUGUACCGUGAUUGGUUUAAUAUUUAAAGGUGUGACGCCGCCGGAUAGUCAGAGCGUCCUAAUGAUAAGGCGUUUAAAUCAUCAGCCAGUGGCCAUAGGAAAAUCCGUGGCUGCGACGGCGAGUGAUGACGGAAAUUCUGCCUUCGGGCGGGAAAUUCUGACAAGUUUAGCGGCCGAGAAAAGCAUCGUUAAAUGAACCAGUUGCGUUCGUACCGCAAACCGACACAGGUGGACGGGUCGAGUAGACCCAGGCAAGCGGAAGAAUGAUGGUUAAGGAACUCGGCAAAAAAGCUGGGAGUAAGUUCGCAAGAUUCCCUGCCUCGAUGGCGCAAGUCAUCGGGGUCACAGCCAAAGAUUGCCAGUCGACUGUUUAACAAAAACACAGGUCUAUGCAAAGGCGUAAGCCGAAGUAUAUGGGCCGAAACCUGCCCAGUGCCGGAAGGUUAAUUGCGAGGGUGACCCCGACUUGUUCGGGAUAGCCUUCAAUCGAAGCCCCGGUGAACGGCAGCAGUAACUAUAACUGUCAACUAUAGGGCAGUUGUAAAAUUUGGCUAUAUGCUGGAAUCCCUGUUCUGAAAAAGAUGAAGAAUAUCACACUAGAAAUGGUAAAAAAGAUUAUGAUAUAAGUAUGACCAUUUCUGACAAAGUGUUGAUUGCAGGCAAUCAGCAGGAAAGAGUUCCAAGGGACCCGGAGAAUUUGCAUUAUUAUUUGACUGGAUUCGCCGAUGGAGAAGGUAGUUUUACAAUUACCAUCCAUCGUCACCCUGUCCGUUUUGGCUGGGUAAUUGAUCCAAUGUUUCAAGUUUAUCAGCAUAAAGAUAAUGCGUUUAUUCUCUAUAUUUUUAAGAAAGAGUUACAAUGCGGAUACGUCAGCGAAAAAGGAGGAAAUCCAAGCUGUUUUGUCUAUUGUGUAGAUAAAAUUCAGCAGUUAAAGGAUAUUGUUAUUCCUUUUUUUGAGAAAUAUCCGCUGGUCGGAGAAAAAUACGAAAAUUUUUCUCUGUUCAGAGAAGUAGUAAAUCGAUUAUCCGAAAGGAAACAUUUUACCAAGCAGGGAUUCACAAAAAUUGUGAGACUUUGUUUUAGAAUGAACAGAAACGGAAAAUAUCGAAGAAACUCUCUGGAAACAAUUCUUGGGUCUUUGGAAAAAUCCUCAGAGACUAUACGCCAAACUCCGUUAAAAACGGGGAUGAUAUAGUCCGAUCUCUGCGGCGACGCAGAGGAUCUCUGUUCAAGGAAAACAGAGUGAUAACGAAAUGUCUAUGGUAGCGCAGUUCCUUGUCGGGUAAGUUCCGACGCGCACGAAAGGUGUAACGAGCUGGCAACUGUCUUGACCAUUAAUCCGGCGAAAUUGAAAUGGCCGUGAAGAUGCGGCCUAGUGACUGCAGGACAAAAAGACCCCGUGGAGCUUUACUACAACUUGGCACUGAUUUAUUUAUAUCAAUAGUCGAGAAUAGGCGGGAGUAUCGGCGCAAGUCGAUACAACAAGUGGAAUACCGCUCGUUGGUUUAAGUAACUCUAACCCAAAGAUUCUAAACACGAAUCUGGGGACCGUGUCUGGGAGGUAGUUUCGCUGGGGAGGUGGCUUGCUAAAGAGUACCGCAAGCGCGCCAAGGUACCCUUAGUACGGAUAGAAAUCGUACUGAAAGUGUAAAGGCAUAAGGGUGCUUGACUGUGACACCUACAAGUGAAGCAGGAGCGAAAGCUGGCCUUAGUGAUCCUCGAUUGCCUCGUGGGAGGCAACGGGCUUAUCGGAUAAAAGCUACC
rnacentral:rRNA from 2 species